rnacentral:tRNA from 1 species
UUAGGGAGACCUACCUGCUCAAAUUCUGAAAGCACACUGCAAAUAAGAAUUGAGUUGGUCAUCCCAAGGUCGUUCGAGGUAUGAGUGUCUGAGCUUUCAAACUAUUAAAGGUUCGGUUAUGGGCUAUUAGCUCAGGUGGUUAGAGCGCACCCCUGAUAAGGGUGAGGUCCCUGGUUCGAGUCCAGGAUGGCCCACCUUAGCAAUUGCACGGGGGUUUAGCUCAGUUGGUAGAGCGCCUGCUUUGCAAGCAGGAUGUCAGCGGUUCGAGUCCGCUAACCUCCACUGGAGUUGAUAGAGCAAGAAACAGGAAGAUACAGCAACUUAUCUAGGUAAAUCUAGAGAGCCUGCUGGAUUAGUCCAGUCAGAACCAUGAAAACUGCAUAGCGAAAGAAGAUUUCUGUCAGGUAGUAGAGAUUCAUCUGAUUUAGGUCAGAUGGGUCAUCACAGACACCAAUGAAUUUUG